rnacentral:rRNA from 1 species
GACGAACGCUGGCGGCGUGCCUAAUACAUGCAAGUCGAACGCAGUGGGGACGGGUGAGUAACACGUGGUUAACCUCCCAUCAGAGGGGAUAACACUUGGUAACAGGUGCUAAACCGCUACUGAUGGAUGUACCCGCGGUGCAUUCGAUAGUGGGUGGGGUACCGGCUCACCAAGGCCACGAUGAAUCGCCGACCUGAGAGUGUGAUCAGCCAAACUGGAACAGAGACACGGCCCAGACUCCUACGGGAGGCAGCAGUAGGGAAUCUGCGGCAAUGGACGAAAGUCUGACCGAGCAACGCCGCGUGAGUGAAGAAGGUGUUCGGGUCGUAAAACCCUGUUGUUGGGGAAGCGGUAUCUAACCAGAAAGCCACGGCUAACUACGUGCCAGCCGCCGCGGUAAUAC